CAUGUGUAAGUAUAAAUAUUUGACUUUGAAACUGCGAAUGGCUCAUUAUAUCAGUUAUAGUUUAUUUGAUGAACAAUACUACUUGGAUAACCGUAGUAAUUCUAGAGCUAAUACAUGACAAAAUCCUCGACUUUGAAGAGGUGUAUUUAUUAGAAUGAAACCAAGAGACUUCGGUCUAUUUGUGAGUAAUAAUAACUAAUCGUAUCGCAUGCUUAGGUAGCGAUAUGUCUUUCAAGUUUCUGCCCUAUCAGCUUUGGAUGGUAGUGUAUUGGACUACCAUGGCAGUAACGGGUAACGAAGAAUUUGGGUUCGAUUUCGGAGAGGGAGCCUGAGAGAUGGCUACCACAUCCAAGGAAGGCAGCAGGCGCGUAAAUUACCCAAUCCUGACAUAGGGAGGUAGUGACAAUAAAUCACAAUGCGGAACUAUUAGUUUUGCAAUUGGAUUGAGAACAAUGUACAAAUGUUAUCGAUAAACAAUUGGAGGGCAAGUCUGGUGCCAGCAGCCGCGGUAAUUCCAGCUCCAAUAGCGUAUAUUAACGUUGUU
rnacentral:rRNA from 1 species